CUACGGGGGGCACCAGUCGAGGAUCUUUAUCAAUGCCCGAAAGGGUGAAUAUGCGACGCCGCGUGCAGGAUGACGGCCUUCGGGUUGUAAACUGCUGUCAGGGGUGAGGAAAGGUUACCGGUGAAUAACCGGCGGCUCUGACGUUAACCCCAAAGGAAGCCAUGGCUAACUCUGUGCCAGCAGCCGCGGUAAUACAGAGAUGGCAAGCGUUGUUCGGAUUUAUUGGGUGUAAAGGGCAGGUAGGUGGCCGAAUAAGUCUGUUGUGAAAUCCCAGGGCUCAACCCGGGAACUGCAAUGGAAACUGCUCGGCUUGAGUGCCGAAGAGGUGAGGGGAAUUCCCGGUGUAAGGGUGAAAUCUGUAGAUAUCGGGAGGAACACCAGUGGCGAAGGCGCCUCACUGGUCGGCAACUGACACUGAGCUGCGAAAGCUAGGGGAGCAAACAGGAUUAGAUACCCCCGUAGUC
rnacentral:rRNA from 1 species